AUGGAGAAUACAAGUAGAGUACGAUUUUCCAAACUUGGUCUAAUAAUCUUGAUGAUAUUCUUCACUUUUUUCACAAAUCUUGAAGCUAGAAGACUUGAAGGUGGAAGACAUCAUAUAGAUAGCCAACGUCUGUUGCAUGAGUUAAUGACAGAUAGAAUAAAGCAAAGACGUAGUUCUCGAAGUGCUCUUGAAGAUAAAGCCUCACCAGGUGGAGAUAGGCUUUCGCCAGCUGGACCAAACCAUACACAUAAUAAUCAGGUCCAUCGCUGA